ACAUCAGCUAGUGAAGGGGGAAAAAAAGAAAAAGAAAAAGCAAGGAACAUAAAUAAACGGAGGGGAGAGAGAGAGAAGGGGAAGAGAAAAAAAGACGCACAGCUGAAAGGAAAUCUGUGAAAUAUGCAACGCUUCUUCUGAGAGCUCGUUAAAUUAUUAACUUCCUGUCUCGCUACGGUGCAGUUCUAGUCGCUUAAAAAAAACACACACACACACACCGAUGGGAGGGCCUCGCUUGUACUUUUUCUGGCAGGAAAAACAAACACGUGAAGCAAAUCGAGCGAGCGAGCGAAUGAACGGAUUCACGGGAUGGAGGACAAAAAAAAGAGAAAGAAAAAUAACAAGAGCACAAGCAUGGAGAGUGUUAAUUUCAGUAACGUGGAAGGGAGCCUCCUCCUUUUCAUAAACACUCCCCCCCCUCCACACACACACACACACACGCACGCACGCGCACACGCACACGCACACGCACACCCCCUCUGUCGAAAAGCUUGAACCCUCAAAACCUAUUCUGGCACAAAACAUUGAUAGUUUUGAUUUAUUUUUCCUUUAUUUCCCGCAGAGACUUUUCCUCCCCAGCUGCCCUGUCGCCUACCAAAGCUUAAAAAGUUUAUAGAAAAUGAACCAAAUCGUGUUUUUCUCUCUCUCUCUCUCUCUCUCUCUCUCUUUAGAGAAAGAGAUGCUGGUCGGCCCCUUCUGAAACAGAAGAGCAGGUUUGCUUAAAUGGAUUUCAUGUUCUGAUUUACAUGAAGAGUAGGUGAGGUGCAGGAAGGAGCAGAAAAAGGGGGGAGCGCUCGGGCUGCUUCCACCAUCUUAGAUUGUAUUGAUUAUUCUUUGCUCUCUCUCACAUGCUAGCCCUCCCUCCUCUCUUCUUCUGCUUCUUUUUCCUGCCACCUUCUCUCCUCGAUCAGCUUUUUCUCCCCGUUUUGUGGCAGAUUACUGUAACGCUAUUGUACAACAACUUCCUGCCUUUUUUGGCUCUGCUUCUAAAACCACUGCGAAAAGGGCAGAGCUCGUGGGCUCAAACUUUUUUCUUCUUCUUUUUUCACCCUCCCCACCCUCUCCUUUCCCUUCGGCCUCGAACCAGAGCAGCUUCUGUACGGAGAGGAAUAAGGACAUGUUAAAAAAAAACCCAAAACAAAACAGAGCGAGUCUGUUACAGAGGAACUAUUCUGAUUUCAUUUCUGCUUUCUAAACUGCUGGCUGGGGAGUUGAGGAGGGCGAGCGGGGACUGCAUGCCUAGCAGAGACAAUGGGAGGAAAAAAAAGAAAAGGAUUUCAAAAGAGCUCGAGGAGAAACAGGAGCAGAGCAGAGGCUGGAAACGAUGGUCCUGCUCGACUGCAGAGCUCAGACUGGACAACCCAGCCUGGGAGGGACGCUCCCUCACUGAAGCCACUUUUGGCAGCAGCACCCCUCAGGAGUCGGCCACAUUGUGCCGGACCGGCACCGCGUUCAGGCUCAAACUAACGCAACUCAGGCAGCAGAUCCACAUGUGUGUCGCCAGCGUCGCAUUCAGAAGCGUUAAUAAUGACACGUCAAACACAAGUUAACGCCGAUGCAGAGGAGAUUUAGUUGAUUUUAGAGUGUUAGGGCGAAAGGCGAAAAUGUUUCACGCAACAAUUGCUUUUAAAAUCAAGCACGCUUUGUGAAUUUUUUUUUUGUAUUUAAUUGCUGUGACUCAGCGAAGGGAUAGCACAAUUUAAACACAUUACUACAAAGAUUUAAAACAAAAAUACAAAACAUAAUCUACAGGUUUAAUGUAAAACAGCAAAGCAAAAACAUUCCUACUGCUGGUAAAAUAAAACCAUUAUAGUGAAAAGGAUUACAUUCCUUUAAUAUUUUGUAUGUUGACACUUGGUAACUUAAAUAAAUGCUUGCUAUGUAGAAAAUCACUAAUUUUUAAUGUCCUGCUCUGUAUAGGGUCACAAGAAUAACAAUCAGAAUUUAGCUGGUUAUUUAAUUAACUUUUUGUUGUUUUUUACCCCGGUGAGAUCAUUAAGAACUGGUUAUCAUUUACAUUGCCAACAAAAGCAAAUGUCUUUAGUUUGAAAUAGUUUUACCUUAAUUGGAAAAGUCUGUUUUUUUGUCACCAGACAUUUUUCCGAAACUGACAACUUUGCCUUUUUUGUAUGCGAGGAAACAGUGAACAGUGUAGUGGCUUUUCUUCCAGCAGGCUGAUUACAAGUGCGCAGCAACAGGUGGGGGAGGGGGCCGCGCUACAUUACUCCACACGGCGUAUGGACAGGGAAAACUUUGGGCUCGUCAGUGUUUUCUCUGGCAUCUGGUUAAAAUGGAUGCUAAACAACAGGAGGAGCGGGAACUUUUUAAGUUGGCAUGGCAACCAGAACGGGUCAGAAGCCCAGAACCCUCUAAGGUUCCCAUGAAAGACGAGACGAUUCUAGGUGAAAGCAUUUUUUGGUGUUUAGGCUGUGCGUUCACAGGUGAGGUGUAUGAUCCUUUUUUAAUCACCUUAUCAUUUAACAUAAAGUUACACUGGGAUUUCUGCUUUACAAUCCCACUGCGUCGAACCAGAACCAAACAUGGAGAAGCAACAUUCAGCUUCUGAGCACCACCAAUCUGGAACAAACUUCCAGAAAACUGCAAAGCUGCUGAAACACUGAGUUCCUCUAAAGCCACCUGUUUAGAUUAGCAGUAAAGGGAGCAUUGAUGACGGUAUUUGACAGAAUGUCACAUUUUGCUUGUUUCAUAAUCGGUUACUGCAUUAUGUUUUUAUUGUGAGCUGUGUCGUUGGUGAAAUGAGUUAUACAAAUAAACUUGGCUUACAGAUUCUAGACAUUUCAAAACAAAGGAGUGGAAGGGCACAGCAUUUUAUUAAAAUGUAUACGUUUUUAAUUACAACUAUUUUGAACAAUUUUCCACCUGAACACUUUCUGAAAACCCGUGAAACGUUGUGAAAAGCAGUCUUGAUUUUUGUUCCAGUUCAAAAGACGCCCGGCUGGCAGCAGCCGUUACUACACCGCUUUCUCUGGAGCUACUUCCUGUCGUUCUUCAGUCUGGUGUUUUGGUCUGAACCAGACCUUUUUUCUCUAUGUUUGUUGUUUCUGUUGUUUUAUUUAUUUAUAUUG